GAAGAACCUUCUUCGCCUUCUGAAUCGGACGAUUCUUCUGAUUCUGAGUCGGAAACUGAAGAGGGGUUUCGACCAAUUACUCGUUCGGGUGAGCCGAACAUAGAUGACGAAGAAAAUGUUACUCCAGAAGAAAAUGUGAAGCGUUUCAUGAGAAUCCUCAAUUCGAAAAGCAGGAACAGGGAAUUAGAUGAGGAGGAAAAAGGGUAUACGUAUCAUGAAGACUUGUUUGAUUUUCCUUAUGACCCGGAAAAUUGGAGGGAAGAGGAUUUGAA
rnacentral:misc_RNA from 1 species